rnacentral:rRNA from 1 species
GGGUCUACCCAUUGGUCAGGCUUAAUUGUCUGCACUGGUGUGAUGGAUCUCUACCUUCUGAGGAACUUUCAUGCCAUUUAUUUGGUGUGAUGGGAAAUCAGGACUGUUACUUUGAAAAAAUUAGAGUGUUUAAAGCAGACUAUCGUCUGAAUACAUUAGCAUGGAAAUGAAAUAGGACGGACUGAUUCUAUUUCGUUGGUUUCUAGGACCGUUGGA